GUAUAUUUACAAGUCUUGGACUUUAUAGAGGCAAACACUGUCUACUAUUUGCAAGGACAGGACUUUUGGAGAGAUUAAGGAAUUAUUACCUAAUGUGUCAGCCUGGAAGUUCAGGAAGGCCAAGCACCAUACAAAUGAUGUUGGAUGGUGGUGUCAGCCUGAAAGUUCAAUAAGGCCAAGCACCAUACAAAUGAUGUUGAAUAAGAUAAGAUAAGAUAAUUUCACAUAAUUUACAUAAUCUUUAUAGUUCUAGGUCUAUGGGAGACAACUCCUGAUAGAUUUUAUUACCUAUAUAUCUAUAUAUAUUUUUCUUUUUCUAUUUUUUUCAUACAACAAUGAUAUAUUCUAUGAAUUUCUUUUGUUCUUCAAAAAGGGAAUGCAAUAAAUUAGAUAAGUUUGAAGUAACAAACAAAUCUUCAGAUGAAAGAAUCCAAAUGAAUUUCAUCAGAUAAUCUUGAAAAUUUUAAAAUUUAGAAUUUAAAUUAGACAGAUGUUAAUAUCUAGUGUUGGAUGUGGUAAGGCAGUUGUACAGGAGAAAAAAUCUAGGAACAAGGUAGAAAAUCAAAAACUGAAACAUUUAUUGAUUACAUACUGUCAUCUAACAGUAUAAAGGAUUUGCCUUACGGUACAAAGACCAUAAAACUUUCUCUAGGAGAGAUUGUUGAAGUCCCAAACCUCAUAAGAAGCUUAACACCAUCUUCGCUGAUAUGGCCAACUAAAAUUAAUUAGUAGAUUUUCAUCCAGAUUGAAAAAAAUAAUGGGGUGGGCAGAAAUAUUUCAUUUGUAAAAUUUUAUUUUAUAUGUAACAAGUGUGGACACAGAUCAGUGUGGAUAGUAAAUUUAUGUCUGAAUGUUUGAAAGUUUUUUUCUGACAAAGAUAGGUAUUUUCCACAGGUUUCUACAUUAAAUGUGUUGCACAAUGACAGACAUCCUGAACCAAACAGUAAACAUUAGAAGUGUUAUUUAAUUUAAUAUUCAGUUUUAAUGUUCAAGACUGUCAUUGAGGAGAACCUAAUUAUAUUGAUAUCCAUAAUAUCAUGAUAAAAUAAGUUCCACAUCUUUUCUUUUGGAUACAUUUGUAGCUGGAAGAGGAACCCAAUAUGUGUCAUUCUGCAUUUUUUAUAUGGAAUAUGGUAUCUGAGAACAUGCAUGCAUGGACUACUUAAUUAUGUGUCUUUGUGGUUGAUCUUGGAAUUUAAAGUACCAUUAGUAAAAUGUUUCAUUUAAAUGUCGAAACUGUUUCUCAAAUUAUAAAAUAUUAAAUGGUUUUAAGUAAUGACAAUUCCUUACAUCAUGCUUGGAUGUAGAUGAGCUAGAAAGUAAACUUCUGUCUAAGUUCUUAAAACAUGUCUAAUCUCUAAAGCCAUGGUCAAUUUUUUUUUUUUACCAAUAUGCAAAUGAUAUGAACAAAAGACCCUAUGUGAGCAUGCUUCAAAUACUUGUAAUUGCUGCAAAUUCAACUGAUGAGAUUUCUUGUGGAUAUGAACAUAUUCUUUAAAUGUUGUAAUUAUCUUAACAGAUCUAGUAUUCAAAAUGAAAAGGUGAGGAAGGUACUGCAAAAAUAUUCUUGUUUCAAGAUAAUUUUGUUAUACAGAUACAAAUGCAUGUGAUACCUGUACAGUGAGCUACUUUUGUUGUGAUAUGAUAGUGUUUCCUGCAGCUUAUGAAAAGGGCACAGUAUUUUUUUUCUCAGGGGGCACACGUUGAAAAUAUGCCGCACAGCCCUAUAUUUUGACCUUUGAAAAAAAUUGUGGUGCAUAUUAACUUUCAAUUCUAGGAUAAGAUUUUUUUCAAAACUUCAUAGUAAAAGUGGUACAAUUUUAGCCGUAAAAGGAGUUAUAUGGGAAAUUGCAUUGUCAAUAUUUACAGAAAUGCAACCUGUAAGGGCACCCUAGCUUUGCUGAGGACUACAAUUCACUUUUAGGACACUUUUACAUUGAUAUUAAAGGUACUGUAAUGGAAAGGAAUUUAAUUGAAUAUACCAUUGUUUGAAUUUAUCUGUAAGAAACUGUCCCAAGUCAGGAGUCUUUAAUUCAGUGGUUGUCGUUAGUUGAUGUAUUACAAUUUUUUUUAGUUCAUUUUUUUUAUAUAAAUAAGGCCGUUAGUUUUCUUGUUUGAAUUAUUUUACAUUGUCAUAUCGGGGUCUUUUAUAGCUGACUAUGUGGCAUGGGCUUUGCUCAUUGUUGAAGGGCGUACGGUGACCUUUAGUUGUUUUAAUGUGUGUCAUUUUAAUUUGGUCUCUUGUGGACAUUUGUCUCAUUGGCAAUCAUACCACAUCUUUUUUUUAUGUGUAUUAGGUUGUAUAUUUAAUUCCUUUUUUGUCAUCAAAUAAUCACUUCAAGACUCAAAGUCAUCUGAUAAAAUCUUGAUCAGGUUCAUUGUGCAACGACCUCAAUUAAUAACUCUAGUUAUAAACUUUAUCCUUGAUCACUGAAACUGAUUGUUGAAGGAUGUUCGUAUUGUGUAUAUAAAUAUUUUAACAAAAUGCAUUUGACUAACAGGUUGAAUAACUGAUGUUCUUUAACCCUGCUGACUGCCAUUGGCAAUUGCAAAAUAAAAUUGAUAACGAGAUGUAAAAAAAUGGAAAUUUUAUAAAUAUACAUAUAUAUAUAUAUAUAAGACUAUUUAAGACUCAUAUUGACAUCCAAGAUCCGGUCUUUACUAAUAAUUAUUUUUUGAAUAACUUACUCUAUAUAGAUUUCAUAUUUUUUCUUUUAUUCGAGACUUAUACUGACCUCCAGAUGUCUUUUAAUUACAUUCAGUUUUGCAUUGGACUGAUUGCUGUACAUGUAAUAUCUGACAAUGUGGAAUGUAAGUAACAGCUAUUCGCCAAAGUUCAAAUAAAGUAGAUGUAAGCAAUUAUAGACAACCAUACAACCUCCUACAAUGAGAAAACCCCAGAGAGGCAUACUGCAUAAUCGACUGUAAACGAACAUUUAUAGCUUACUAUGUGUGAGAUAUUGGCUUUGCUCAUAGUUGAAGACUGUACAGUGACCUUUGGUUGUACUGUUACUUGUAAAUUCAGUUUUGCAUUGGACUGUUUGCUGUACAUGUAAUAUCUGACAAUGUGGAAUGUAAGUAACAGCUAUUCGCCAAAUUUCAAAUAUAGUGGAUGUAAGCAAUUAUAGACAACCAUACAACCUCCUACAAUGAGAAAACCCCAGAGAGGCAUACUGCAUAAUCGACUGUAAACGAAAAUUUAUAGCUUACUAUGUGUGAGAUAUUGGCUUUGCUCAUAGUUCAAGGCUGUACAGUGACCUUUGGUUGUUAGUUUCUCUGUCAUUUGGUCUCUUGUGGAGAGUUGUCUCAUUGGUAAUCAUAUCGUGUCUCCUUUUUUAAAUGUACAUUUAUGUAACCUGUUCACAAUAUGAUAUAAUUUAUAUUGAUAAGAUCUAUUUAAAAAAAGACAUUGUGAUUAUUUUCACAAGAUUGAUAGUCAUGAUAGUGGUACAAAUGUAUAAGGACUGAAAUAAGAUCAAAUAUAUAUAUAUUUCUGCUCAACAGUUCUAUGAUAAAUCAGUUGCAGUAGGUUGUUUAAGUUAGCAGCAUAAUAAACAUUGCACAUCUUUAUGGGGUCUACAAUCAAUAUAUUGCUGUAAUUUGAAUUUGAUUCACAAUAACCAAUUUGAAUCUGAUAAAUUUCCAAAUAUUUGACGUCCAAAUGUAAAGUUUCACAUAAAUUGCAUUGCACAUCAUAUAUGAUUAUGCUUCACUCUUGGAUCGAUGUGACCUUUCUAAUUGUGUUAUCAAUUUCUACAAUAACCCAAAUUUCCUUAUUGGUUUUCCUGCGGAAAUGUCAUGUGUUUAACAGGAUAGACCAAAUAUAAUUUAGGCUGAUGUUGUGACGUUAAACAGUUAAAUAAAUUAUUUAUGUUAACUAUAUUAAGAUUGGUUUUGAAUUUGUUCCUUUUACAGACCACUCUAAGUGAUAUUCAUUAACUCGACACUGAAUCCAAAACAAACCUAUGGCAUCAGAUAAUUUGUAUUGUUAUGUCAAAAUCUUAUUGGAACCUUUGUGAUGUCCAGUAUUGCAGUAAUUAUGGCAGACAAAUAUCAAUAUGGCACACAGGAAAACAUAUUAUUGUAUAGCAAUAUAAUUUUCCCCACAGAAAGUAACCAAAAUUUGUAUAGAAUUAGAUUUAACCAAUGUUCAGCAUAAAUAAAAGUAAAUAUGCAGAAGCAUGACAAUACAUUAAUGAUAAAAAAUGUUUAUUUAUCUGUAAAAGACGUUGCCAGUAUCUUUCUCUAAGAAUUACAUUUGAGUGAAUCGGUUGAACCUCAGUUGAACACGGGGUCGGAGUUAACAGUUGAAUUGAUAUUCAGAAAAAUUACAAAAAUCAUAUCAUUAAUCAUAUGAUACAUACACUGAAGUGGAGGGUAACAGUAUUUGAUAAAAAUUCCCUGUUGGAGAUUUAAUGAUGGAGUAUAAAUAUUUCAUCGAGCUUAGUUGAUUCUUAACUUUAGGGGUGGUAACUGCAAUGGAAAAAUUUGAGUCGUCUGCAAUGUUAAAUGUUUUACCUGGAUGGAAAAGUUUGGAAUUCUGACCUAUUUGGUCAAAUGAAAAUAUCCUAUCAUCUCCUCGGAGACAAUAUUAAGAAUUGAACAAUGGACAGUCAGUGCAUGAAUGCUUCUUUCUACCUGAUUGGAAGAUAUUACAAGACGUGAAUAAUCAAAGUUUAUUGAUAGGUUAGGACAAUCCAAACCUAGUAAAUGUCCUUCAGUCCCAUAGAGUAUUGGAUUUGUCCUCUCUAUUUAAGCAAUUAGAUUUGCAUGGUCAUUAAUCAUGCAUAUUCAUGAUAUUGUUACACAGGUAACUUUUAUCUAUAAAUAGUCGAUAUUUCUGGAGUUCCGUAAACAACAACGUUAAACGAUAUAUACUACUUCAUAACAUGUGUGGUAAAAUGUGUUGAUUGAUGCACGUGGCUAUUCUAAAUGAACUAAUCUAUAAAGCCAGAAAACUAUCCAUUUUCAUCAGCUAAGAGACGGCUAGCUUUUUUUUGAAAGGCUAAUACUUGUGUAACUAUUGUACUUAACCAUAUAUACUUCAUACCACGGGGGCAUAAGCAAGUGUAAAAUAAGCUUAUGUCAUGCAUGUCAUGUUUUGCGCCUGUCCCAAGUCAGGAGCCUCUGGCCUUUGUUAGUCUUGUAUUAUUUUAACUUUUAGUAUCUUGUGUACAAUUUGGAGUUUAGUAUGAUCUAGUAUGGCGUUCAUUAUCACUGAACUAGUAUAUAUAUUUGUUUAGGGGCCAGCUGCAGGACGCCUCCGGAUGCAGGAAUUUCUCGCUGCAUGGAAGACCUUUUGGUGACCUUCUACUCUAUGGUCCGGUUGUUGUCUCUUUGACACAUUCCCCAUUUCCAUUCUCAAUUUUCUUUUACAUGUAUAAGGAAUCGUACAGGAUUUUCAAACUUUUGAAUAAAUAUCUCUGAUUUGCAACCACAGUUUACUGUUAUACACAUUAGAAAACUAUUAAAAGUCAUGUAAAAAAGUGGAGAAAUACUGUCUUCAGUUCUACAUCUACAUGGCCGGAUGGGUAAUCUGUAAAGAGUCAGUUGACUCAUAACAGGAAUGUGUUUAAAUUAAAGUUGUCAUCCAAAAUGUGCUCUUUUAAAAUCAUAUGUACAGGUGCCAGUGCAGAUAAAAACAGUUGGACUAUACCUACUUAUAAUUUAUUUUGCUUUCUAAGCGAUGGUUUGUAGUCACCAUAAACCUGUAUUAAUUGGUACAAAUGUAUGCAAAACAAGUGUUAUAUAGUACAGAAUAAAAUUGAAACACAAACCCUAUUACUUUCCACACUGUUUGUGUUUUAACUUAAAGCAAGAUGCAAAUAUGAUUAUGACGUUAAACAAAACUUAAUAAAAAGAAGUUAUAUUUAGAGUAUUGAGACAAAGGAUGAUUGCUGUCAACAAAAAACAACAGCCAUGUGUAAAUCUAAGGGCUUGCUAUGAUAACAAUGUUUGUCAACUUUUUUGUAGCUCAAUCUGAGGGGGAGCAUAGUAGUCUCAGGCUCAAUAUACAGUCAUAAAUCAAGUUCGUGCUUGGGUCAAUUUCUUUAAUCCAGUCAUGCUUUUUGUACCAAUAUGUUCCACGAAUUUGUGCUUUGGAUAUCAGACAUAGUCCAUUUUGAUGUUGUCAUCUUUAACCAGCAGAAUAUGUCAACUUAAUCAUUUUUGUAAGAUUACUCGAAGAAAUACAAAACUGAAAUUGACACAGGAAGGUUUGAAUGAAACGAAAGUAUCAAUGGUAAUACUGGUAAUGGACAUGGAAAAAAUCCAGAAAUCGUAAAUUUUUAAAAAUAAAAAAAUCGGAGUGGGCAGGGAUGAAAAUCUAUCAAUUAAUUUCAGUUCAUAAAAUAUUGUGAAACAGAAGAUAUUAAACCAUUAGGUAUAAUAGAAUAUUAGCUGUAACAAUUGGUCUUAACUCACAGGGUAAAAAAUAUUAUUUGAACUUCUACGUGUAAAAAAUAUAUUUUGUUACUAAAAUGGAAUACUAUAAUUCUUUAAUGAAUGCAAGACAAUAUGAAGAGUCAGAAUCAUGCAUGGUGAUUACCCCUGAAAAUUUGAUAAUUUAGACCAUAUUUUUGUUUGAAAUUUGCAAAUGUUUCAAUUUUACUAAUCAGAGAUAUAACAACACAAGAUGACCUAUAUUGUAACCACAUGAACACUAAUUUUAUCUUCCUCCAACUUAAAAUUGGAUCUAUAAGAUUCAUAAUUUACACUUCAUUUUACAGGUACCUCAACAGUAUACAAGAUUUU